rnacentral:lncRNA from 1 species
UUCUCCCAAAGCAUUUGUUUGAAUUUAGUCUCCAGUGCAGCAGUUGGAGGUAGGGAUCAAGCAGAGAGGAUUGGACUGUGGGACUGUGAGCUCACAACUGGAUCAAUGCAGUUUUUAUGUAGAAUCAGAACAGACAAAGUGAGACAGAUUCCACCCGAGUGAUGGGAGGCAACUGAGGACAAACCAAAGGAUGAUUCGUUUCAGACAAAAUGGUUCAUAUCCAAGAGCGCAAGUGAUCAGAGUUGAAAUGAAGUCACAUGUGAUGAUGGUUCAUGCAUAAAAUCCCUAGUUGUGCUUUG